CUCGGCGGGGCGCGCGGCGGGCGGACUGGGCGGACUGGGCUCGGCUGCGCGCGCCAUGGCCCGGGGCCUGCGCGGCCUCCCGCGGCGCGGCCUCUGGCUGCUGCUGGGUGCCUGCCCGUCAGCCCCAGGCCAGGGUUGUUUACGUCCGCAUCGGAAGUGGUGGCAGCAACAUGUCAAGCUGGACUCCUUCCUUUCUAAGGCAAAUAGCCAGCUGGGAAAGUCUGUUCCUCCUGAUUUUCUUCCCCCAGAAUGAAGCGGCGCCCCAGCUUCUACUCAUUUAGAAGUGGUGUCAGCAGAGGGGUGUGGGCGCCCCGUGUGGCAUAAAUCCCAGCAGAGAUGCUGAGCCCCCAGUGGUGGAGCCCUGAGAGAUUGGCAGCCAGCAUCCCUCUCCUUGGGGCACAGAGCCUUCCUUUCCUGGUCCACCUGGCAGGUGGGCUCCCGCCUCUGUGCGCCCUGGCCCAGGCCUGCCUGCUCAGGGCAGGGCGGGAACCCAGGCUGGGCCGGCUGCUUUCUGCUGGAGCCUUGGGGGGAAGCCAACUCUUUCCUCUCAGCCGGCUGGAUCUGAGUGUUGGGCUGCCAGAUCCCAUCCUGUGCCCCCGGGCUGAGUUCUCCUGACGCUUCCCAGCGCUUGGGUUGACCCCAAGAGGUGGACCUUUCAACCCUGUGACCCUGUGGUGUCUGAACCAGGUGUGUCUCUUUGCAGGACAGUGCCUGGUGGGGGGCAGAUCUGGUGCCAGUGGGAACCUGCCCAAGAGCCUCUUUUGCUCCUGGGGACUCAGGGAAGACCUGGGGCGGGAGGUGCUGCGGCCGCUGGGAAGGGAGAGGAGCGGAGACGGGCCGGGGCGGCGGCUGUGGCCUCCUGCACCUGUGCUGGCCCUGGGCCCACCUUGCUGUCCAGCGUGCUCCUGGCUGAUGGAGACGGACGCGAAGCGAAUGGGUCCUGCCCUCCCCACACAUGGACACACACGGACACACAAGCACGGAGCCCCCGGAGGGNCCCCCCCCGCCCGCCCCGCCGUGCCUCUCCCCCCCCAGGAUGCUGGCCUUGGGCUGGGGACGUUUCUAGAGAACUCGUUUGUUCUUAGCCAGGAGGCUCCCAACCUCAACAAGAACUUAUCCUUUGUAAUAUAAGGACGUUCUUGUCCACGGGGAAACUUUUUCCUCCUCAG
rnacentral:lncRNA from 1 species